UCCACAUAGGGCAGCUUCAGCCUGAGCUGUGGCAUAGUUUCUGUGCCCUGUGCGAGGGCUGUAGAAGUUUGAUUUUUGCUUUUGUCUCCAGCAUGGUAGGAUGUGGUUUGUUCUUGAUGCUAGCCUCAUCUCCAUCCUCUGAAUGGCACCUGUCAGAAAGUGACGUGGCAUCCAAAUGCAUUUGCAGUGCACUUCUGAGCUUCUGUAUUCUGCGUGGACCAGUCAGCUGGAAACAUGUAUUUGAAGUGUGCACAUGGAAAUGUUUAUCUGGAGCACACCCCACUCUGCACCACAGGCAUCUGAUGGGGUCCGUGCUGGUUUUUCUCUGCAUCUGUCCGUGUUGCAUUGGUGGUGUCAGUAAGCACAAGCUGGAAAUGGCAUACAGAUUGUUUUAAUUUGCACCAAGGACAUCUUUGCCUCUAUGAAUAAGAAAGCAUUUUUGAAAACAUCCUUCAUCUACUAAAUUGAGUGCUCCUAGUUUCCAGUUCUACAGUACGUUGUCAGCAGGAUCAGAGCUGGGCCUACAAGGCACUCUGCUCUGCCCCAGGCUGUGCUGCUGGCAUGUUGCAGGACAUGGAGCUGUGCUGGAGAGCCUGAGCUGCCCCAGUGAGCGUACCGAAGGCUGCUGAAGGAAGGAAGUGGAAUUCUGGGCAGUCUGGAGAUGUUGAGGAGAACCUUGCAAUGCUCAACAAUUCCUGAGCAGCCUGCUGUAAACACUUGCAGUGCCGUGACGUUCUGCCAUCCGAAGGGGAAUUAAUCGCUGAGCAGCAUGAAGAUUGCACAGCACAGACAACAGGCAUGGUCCAGGCCUCAAGGGACUAAUUAUGUUCUUAAAGGGCUGCCCAUCCUGCUUCCCAGCAAGACCUCAGCUGUGUGUGUACCAGGAAAGCAAAUAAGAAAGGUCUUCACAAAAAAGCUCUAAGAAUGUGAAACUGGUACCUGGAGAUACAGGGGGGAUUCUGCCUGUUCACAACAUAUCUGACAGCGUAAACUGCCCAAAGAAGGCUUUUUUGAUUCACAGAACAGCUACAUCUGAGGAACUGCUGUCAGAGUCACAGGAGUCAACUCCCUUUGCAUAAAUGUGUGCCAACAAAGAAGGAAAAAAAAAACAACCCGACAAAUUAGUUGGAUGGUGCAAGAAACCAGUUAGAAAGCAGCUCCUGGAGGCAGAGUGGUGUAAGGAUUGAAUUCCUGAACUUGCUGAGUGACAGAAACUGCUCUGGAGAAGCCAACGAGAGGUAGGCUGGCUUUGGGAACUCAUGUUAUCUCUUAAUGACUCUUUAUGUUUUCCUUCAAUAUUUUCCCAGUAAUUACUUUUUUUUCCCUGACUCUCCCUGGAGUAUUAAGUCAGUCUUAUUAUCACAAAUAUUAACUGAACUGAAAUGAGAUUAGGAACAGAGGUCAUCUUAAAGGAAGGCUAAUGUGAAUACAGGAUGAAAUACAGAGCAAGGCCAUGUGUCUAGCUACAGUGAUCUGGAAAAGAAACCAUGCUUUACUCAAGAAAAAUGGUUUUGGUCUUGUUUAUAAGUGUAUAUGCAAUAGCCAUGUUGGGAUUAUUAUUAGUCCUUAUUGCAGCAUCUGGAUCAGCUCCUUUCAUGUAGGUUAGGUGAUAGCCAGGUAUUCCAUGCUUUGGAAGCUUAAAAUAUGGUUUCUGCUCUGCUCAUGUUCCCACUGAGCGGGUUUUAGUGCUAGAAAGUCACCAGCUUUAUGGGAAACUGCAGUAUGUGACAAAUAGGCAAUUUGCAGGGGAAAAAGCACCAUGCAAUUUAAUGAUAAAUAGUGAUACACUAAAUAAAUUAUUUAAAAGAACCAACUCUUCUUUAAUAUAAUUACAUUCUAUUUCAUUUCUGAGGAGAGGA